AAGUGUCACAGCUCUUUUAGAAUUUGUCCAGCAGGUUUUCUGACUUAUGCUGGAAAAACCCUA
ensembl:snRNA U7 U7 small nuclear RNA